rnacentral:rRNA from 1 species
CUUCACUCUGGGACAAGCCCUGGAAACGGGGUCUAAUACCGGAUAACACUCCUGCCUGCAUGGGUGGGGGUUAAAAGCUCCGGCGGUGAAGGAUGAGCCCGCGGCCUAUCAGCUUGUUGGUGAGGUAGUGGCUCACCAAGGCGACGACGGGUAGCCGGCCUGAGAGGGCGACCGGCCACACUGGGACUGAGACACGGCCCAGACUCCUACGGGAGGCAGCAGUGGGGAAUAUUGCACAAUGGGCGAAAGCCUGAUGCAGCGACGCCGCGUGAGGGAUGACGGCCUUCGGGUUGUAAACCUCUUUCAGCAGGGAAGAAGCGAAAGUGACGGUACCUGCAGAAGAAGCGCCGGCUAACUACGUGCCAGCAGCCGCGGUAAUACGUAGGGCGCAAGCGUUGUCCGGAAUUAUUGGGCGUAAAGAGCUCGUAGGCGGCUUGUCACGUCGGUUGU